GACGUAGGGCGCGAGCGUUGUCCGGAUUUAUUGGGCGUAAAGAGCUCGUAGGCGGCUUGUCGCGUCGUCUGUGAAAUCCCGCGGCUCAACUGCGGGCUGGCAGUCGAUACGGGCAGGCUGGAGUUCGGUAGGGGAGACUGGAAUUCCUGGUGUAGCGGUGAAAUGCGCAGAUAUCUGGAGGAAUACCGGUGGCGAAGGCGGCAUCCUGGACCGGCAUUGACGCUGAGGAGCGAAAGCUAGGGGAGCAAACGGG
rnacentral:rRNA from 1 species